CCUCCUCCUGCCAUGAUUAAAUCACCUCCCACCAGGCCCCACCUCCAACAUUAAGGAGUACAUUCCACAGGAGUUUUGGAAAAGAAACACAGCCAAACCAUAUUAUUCUGACCCUGAUACCCCAGAAUCUCAUGUCCUUCUCACAGAGCAAAAUACAUUCAUGCCUUGUCAAAAGUUUCCAAAAGUCUUAACUCAUUCCAGCAUUAACUCAAAUGUAAAAACUUCAACAUCUCAUCUGAGACAAGUCUACAGUCCCUUUCACCUAUGAGUCCCUGAAUUUAAAAGGAUGUUCUUUUCUUUCAGGGUACAAUGAUGGUACAGGCAUUGGGUAAGCUUUCUCAAUUGAAAGGGAAGAAAUUUCCCAGGAAAAAACCACAAAUAGAACCACACGCCCAAUGCAAGUCCAAAACCCAGGAGGCCAGUAUCCAUUCAAUCUCACAGCUCCAAAAUCACGAAGAGAACUCACUAGCAUAAGCACAGCAAUAAGGAGAUGGUGUUUAAUCAUUUGUGAAGGAUCCACCCCCCCACCACCACUUUUCACCCCUCACCCCCACCAUAAUCCCCUCAUUCUCCCUACCCCCCACCUUCCAACCCUCACUCUCCACCAUGAUUAAAUCACCCUCCACCAGGCCCCACCUUUAACUUUAUUAUUCUGUCCCUGGCUCCCAAAUCUCAUGUCCUUCUCACAUUGCAAAAUAUAAUGAUGCCUUCCCUACAGUCCCCCAAAUCUUGUAUCAUUCCAGCAUUUAUACAAAUGUCCAAAGCUUAAAGUCUCAUCUGACACAAGGCUACAGUCCCUUAGGUACAAGAGCCUCUGAACUAUAAAGCAAGUUAACUACUUCCAAGGUACAAUGCUUCUGCAGGCAAUGGGUAAGCAUUCUCAACUGAAAGGAAGAAUUUUGCCAGAAAGAACAAAACACAUACAGGUCUUACAGGCCCCAUGAAACUCCAAACCCAGAAGGCCAGUCAUUCAAUCCUACAGUUCCAAAAUCACCCUUUUUGAAACGUUGUCCCACAUCCAGGGCACAGGGACAUGAGGGCUGGGCUCUGAAGGCCUUGGGCAGCCCUGCACCUGUGGCUUUGCAGGGUUUAUGCCCCACAGCUGCCCCCAUGGGCUGGGCGGGUGUGGAGUGCCUAUAGCUUUUCCUGACUGAUGGUACAAGCUGUUGGUGGGUCUAUGAAUCUGGGGUCUGCAUGAUGGUGGCCUCCAGUGUGGGGGCUCCAACGCCAUAUUUUCCUUCUGCACUGCCCUAGUAGAGGUUUCCCAUGAGGCUCUGCCUUUUUGGCAGCCUUCUGUCUGGACACCCAAGCACUUUUAUAUAUCUUCCAAAAUAUAUAUGGAGGAUCUCAAGCCUCUGAACUAGUGCUCUGUGCACCCACUGGCUUAACACUGUGUGGAAGCCACCAAGGCUUAUAGCUUGCACCUUCUGAAGCGGUGUCCCAAGCUGUACCUGUGCGUCUUUGAGACAAGGCUGGAGCUGGAGCUGCAGGGAUGCAGGCAGCAGUAUCCUGAGGCUGCACACAGCAGCAGAGCCAUGGGGAUGGCCCAGGAAACCAUUCUUUCUCCUAGGUCCCAGGGCCUGUGACAGAAAGGGCUACUGCAAACAUCUCUGAAAUGCCUCCAAGGCUUUCUCCCCCAUUGCGUUGGCUAUUAGCACUGGCCUUCAUUUCAUGCAAAUUUUUAAAGCCAUCAUGAAUUUUCCCUCUGAAAAUCAGCUUUUGUUUUGACCAUUUGGCCAGGCUGCAAAUGUUACAAACUUUUGAGCUCUGCUUGUCAUUUAAAUAUAAGUUGCAACUUGAGGUCAUUUCCUUGGUCACACAUAAGGGCACAGGCUGUUUGACAUAGAGAGGGCACGUCUUGAGAUUUGCUGCCUAGAUGUUCAUUCCACCAGAUAUGCCCUGAAUCAUCAACCUCAAGUUUAAAGUUUCACACAUCUCCAGGGCAAGGUCACCCUGCAGCCACGUUCUUUGUUACAGCAAAACAAAAGUAACCUUGGCUCCUGUUCCCAGUAAGUUCCUCAUUUUCAUCUGAGACCUCAUAAGCCUGGCCUUCACUGUCCCUCCUUCUGUCAGCAUUUUAAUCACAAGUAUUUAACAAGUCUCUACAAUGGUCCAAACUUUCCUUCAUCUUCCUGUCUUCUUCCAAGUCCUCCAAACUCUCCGACCUCUGGCUGUUAGCCACUUCUGAACCUGCUUUUAUAUUUUCAGCUAUCUUUGUCACAACCUGGCAAUGUAGAAGGAAAAAAAGUCCAUUUUCAGGGGCAAACUUCAAGAAGGCUUCAGAUAUUUGCAUUAAAAGGAAGACCAGUAUUAAUAGCCAAUGUGAUGGGGAAAAGUCAUUGAAGACAUUUAAUAGCUUCAAUUCGCAUAGUAAUUUUCUGUAAGAUCAUAACAAAAAGGGGUUUAAUUGGCUUAUAGUUCUGCAGUAGGCUGUAAAGAAAGCAUAGUAACUUCUGUUUCUGGGAGGACUCAGGAGGCCUCUCAAUUAUACCAGAAGGACAAGCAGCAAUAAAAUGUUGCAUAUGGCCAGAGUAGGAGCAAGACAGAGAGAGGAAAGAGGUGUCACAGACUGUUAUACAACCAGAUCUCUUGAGAACUCAGUAUCACAAGGUCAGCAUCAAGAAGAUGGUGCUUAAUCAUUGGUGAAAGAUCCACCCCCCAACACACUUCCACCCCCCACUGUUUCCAGGCAGAAGCCUGCUGCAGAGGCAGAGCCUCUUGGAAAAUAUGGGCUUGGAAGGAAAUAUGCAGAAGGAAAAUAUGGGCUUGGAGCCCCUAUGCAGGAGGCCACCAUCCUCCAGACCCCAGAUUCAUAGACCCAACAACAGCUCAUACUCUCAGUAUGGAAAAGGUACAGGCACUAAACAACAGCCAAGCCCAUGAGAGCAGCCACGGGGCUAAAGCCUGCAAAGCCACAGGUGCACUGUCCUAGUAGAGGUUUUCCAUGAGCCUCUGCCUCUGCAGCAGGCUACUCCCCCUUCCUACUACCCACCACCCUAUGGCCAGCCUAUUCCUCCCCACCCUCCCCGCCCCUUUUUCCUUACACCCCCACCCUCCUCCCAUCCAGGAUUAAAUCACCUCCCACCAGGCUUCACCUCCAAAAUUCAGGAUUACACUUCCACAGAGUUUUUCUAGGGAAACACAGCCAAACCAUAGUAUUCCGAACUUGACCCUUCCAAAUCUCAUGUCCUUCUCACAGGGUAAAAUACAAUCAUGCCUUUUCAAAAGUUUCCAAAAUCCUUAACUCAUUCCAGCAUUAACUCAAAUAUAAAAAGUUCAAAGUCUCAUCCGAGACAAGGCUACAGUCUCUUAUGCCUAUGAGUCUCUGAAGUUAAAAUGGAGUUCAUUUCUUUAAAGGUACAAUGAUGACACAGGUAUUGGGUAAGCUGUCUUAAUCCAAGGGGAAGAAAUUUCCCAGAAAAAUAACACAAAUGGGACCAGAGGCCCAAUGCACAUCCAAAACCCAGCAGAACAGUAUUCAUUCAAUCUCACCACCACAAAAUCAUGAAGAGAACUAUCACAAGGACAGUAUUAAGGAGAUUGUGUUUAACCAUUUGUGAAGGAUCUGCCCCCCA
rnacentral:lncRNA from 1 species